rnacentral:lncRNA from 1 species
AUGGAAACUCGCCCAAGCCAGCGCCCUAGGAACCCUGAAGAUAACCCAUAACACAUAACGCCCAGCAUGCAAGUGAUUGUCCUGGCACCACCCACACAAGUGUUAAAUAGGGGUCAGAUUCAGGCCACCCAUUCCUCAGUGCUCAGUGGUCCCAGCUGCCACUCAGGAAGCUCAGUUCCCAGGGAGCAGAUCUGAGAAGCAGUGGUGGAGUCCCCUGAGAUAUUGUCAUUGUGUAGCCAGCAACAGCUGCACAUGACUAGAACACAGCCAGCAAAUGGUGAGCAGCAGGGCUAUCAGGGGAG